rnacentral:rRNA from 1 species
CCCUUAGAUGUCCUGGGCCGCACGCGCGUUACACUGAUGCAUUCAACGAGCUUAUAACCUUGGCCGAGAGGCCUGGGCAAUCUUGUUAACGUGCAUCGUGAUAGGGAUAGAUUAUUGAAAUUAUUAAUCUUGAACGAGGAAUUCCUAGUAAACGCAGAUCAUCAAUCUGCAUUGAUUACGUCCCUGCCCUUUGUACACACCGCCCGUCGCACCUACCGAUUGGAUGUUCCGGUGAAGCCUCGGGAUUGUGGUUCUUGCCGCUUUAUUGUGGCGUGACCGCGAGAACUUGUCUAAACCUUAUCAUCUAGAGGAAGGUGAAGUCGUAACA